CGCCGCCGGCCCUCUGGGAAACGUUGGUCCGGGUCCACAAUACCUUGUGCAGACCCCGAGCGGAUGCAGAGAAUCGAGCCGCCGGCCUUCCCGCGUGCAGACGAGUUGUCUGCACAGCCUGAGAGUGUGUUGUGGGGCUGCCCUGCAUUGCCGAGUCAGCCCACACAGCACUGGCGCACGGAAACUCGGACACUCGCUCCUCCGGGUCUCCCCACGCCGGGAGCGGCCUGGGCCCCAGCCCCUGCUACUUUGCCCAGGAUGACCCUCCGGACGCCACAGUCACCACCACUCCAGCCUUAGGGCGUCAACAUGCCCGAGGCCUGGACACUCUUUUCUUCCAUCCUCCGCAUCCGUGUAGCUUCUCCCUGACCUAGGCCGAAUUUGGAGAGGUGGAUGCCCCUUUAUUGUCCCGGAGCCCCUGGUUGUUGGCCGACCGUGUACCUGAACUUUUCCUUGAUUCUGGUUCCCGCCCCGCCGCCAGCUUGCUCAGAUUGGCGAGGGGUUUGCAGAGUACAGAAAAGAGCCCCUCUCCUGAACUAGGGUGUGGAUGAGAGGCGUGUUGCGGGAAUGAAGUGGACAAACGGUAUCAGAAAAGGGAGUGGAGGAAGAGAAUGAAACCCCGCGUCGCUGGGAGGCAAGAGUCGAGGGCGGAAAUUCAGACUCUACGAUUUCCUUAUCUCUUAGAGGUCCCCAAUGUACUAAAUGGAUUUCCUUUUUCUAAACCAGUGUGUGAAAAAUUUCAGAUGUCAAAGAGAUAGUCAAAAGAUGUUUCUUCAAGUUCCUUGAAGUUCCUUGGCCAACCUUGUUUCAGCUAUAUUCUGCCUCCCAGUCCCACUGGAUUAUUUUGAAGCAAAUCCCAGACAUCACCAAAUAGUUCUGUCCAGGUGGAAGAAAUUUUCAUCCCACUGUCUUGAGUACUUUUAGCUGAUCUAAUAAUUAAAUUGACAUAAGAUAGAUUGAUAGGAGGGAAAAAAUCCAAUUUAAUUCAUACACAGGGAAAUCUCACAGAAAAAGGACUACCAAAGAGACCAAAGGAGGCUGUUUAUAUGUUGUUUUUUGACAAAGAAAUAUUGUUUGUGAAGAAUUAACAAAGGGGUUUGUGCUUGGGGUAGCAAACUAAAGAAAUAGCAAAGUUUGUUAUGUAGCUAUCUUAGCCUUGAAUUCCCUCACUCUGGUGAUAAAACAAAAUUUAUAUUUAAAGGCAGGAUAAGAAAAACUGAACAUAAAAUUCUCUCUCUGUGUUUGUUUGGGCCUCUUCCUUCCCUCCCUAACGUGCAGUGUGCACCUGCGUUACAUAUUAACCAGAUGGGAGUGACUGCUCAACUAUACAGAUCAAUUUUUUCCCCUUUCUUCUAAUGCUACAGUGUAACUUUUAUUUGCUGUUGUUACUUCUUAAAACUUAAAAGAAUAGCAUUCUUUCUCAACUCUGUAGAGGGUCGGGAGUCAUGGUGACUUGUUGCUCACUUUGUAAAUGCUUACUUGGACUGUUACCUUGGUAAACCUUAUGUAAAUUAUCAGUAUGGCAUUUUGAUGUAGGAUCCUUUGUCUUGAAAAUGUACAUGACUAGUGCCUUGGGCUUUUAACAGGCAGCACACCACGUUUGCUUGUCUCUCUUUUUCUGGUGUUUAAUCUGAGCUUCGGGUUCAGGAGUAUGCAGACUGAAGCAACCAUUGAACAUUUCCCACCAGUUUUUCACACCAGGUAAGGGAUUCCUCAGAAUCGUCAAAAGUGACAAAAUUACCGAUGCCAAGAUUCUACCCUGGAUCUUUAAACCCGAAACUCCAAAUUUGGGGCCUGUGAGUAGCUAUCUGGAAGGCUCCGCAGGCGGCUGUUAAGGGCUGGAAAAGCUAAUCUCUGUCCCAGACGUGCUUCCAUCACCUUCGGCCUGGUAUUCCCAGUCCUUCCACACGUUUCUGUGCCAGUCCGUCCCCGCUGGGCUGUGAACUCUGGGACCCCCAGCGAACCAGCUCUAGGCCGCCUUAUGGUCUGCAGGAGGACGGCGACGAGGUCGGGGCACCGAUGAACCCGGAGCCCACAAAGCCGCUGCCCUCCGGGUGGCGGGCCCUGCUGGUCCCACGAGGCCGGAGGGAGAGAGCAAGCACCACACCGGGGGAUUUUAGAAGUUCCAGAAGGCCCUCAGCAUCUCGAUCGCCACAGCCGGCCGCCUUAUCGUCCAGUCGUCAUGGGGAGACCUGUCCACCCCCGUGGCCGGCCGACCUCGUGGCGCAACGGUAGCGCGUCUGACUCCAGAUCAGAAGGUUGCGUGUUCAAAUCACGUCGGGGUCAGCGUUCCCUUUUCUAGAGCUCGGGUAGCUUUUAUUUAUUCUUAUUUGCAACUCUGUUGAGGUCCCAUCCAGCAGAUUAGAGAAGAAACACUUCACAGGGGCCGGAAGGGGAGGGUCCCUGGCUCCAAGUCCCGAGCCGCCCCGUCGGGGGUGGGGAGCUCCAAGAUCUCGCGAUAGUUUUUACUGUAGAUCCGGGGACUGUAAAUCUGGGCGGAUAGCGGGGUUCCUGAGGAGUGACGCACGCCCCAGAAAUCCAACCCCGAGUCGGGUGCUCGCGCAGGCUAGGAUAUCGCUCGGCAGCCAGAGCCCUGCGAGUCGUCCUCGCGGUGCCGGGCGGGAUCCCUCAGGACACCAUCCCUACGCGACGUAGUUAGGUUCACGCUUUCUCCGAGAAGGAAGAAUCCAGACCCCAGAGAGGAGAUCCUAAACUGCUUUCCUGUGGACGAGGUGGCCGAGUGGUUAAGGCGAUGGACUGCUAAUCCAUUGUGCUCUGCACGCGUGGGUUCGAAUCCCAUCCUCGUCGGCCUGCGAUUUCGCAGCUGUCUUUAUAUUUUAUAACCUUGUGUGUGCCAGGAUUCAA